rnacentral:pre_miRNA from 1 species
CUACUACUCCCUCCGUCCGGAAAUACUUGUCAUCAAAAUGAAUAAAAAGAGAUGUAUCUAGAUGUAUUUUAGUUCUAGAUACAUCCCUUUUUGUCUAUUUUGAUGACAAGUAUUUUCGGACGGAGGGAGUAUUAA